AUGGGUGACCAGUGACAGAGUGAGGGGGGGUGACUAGUGAGGGAGGGGGUGACUAGUGACAGAAUGAGGGAGGGGGUGACUAGUGACAGAGGGAGGGAGAUGGUGAUGUCACUAGUCACCCCAUCCCUCCCUCUGUCACUAGUCACUCCCUCCCACUCUGUCACUAGUCACUCCCUUCCUAACUCUGUCACUAGUCAUCCCCUCCCUCACUCUGUCACCAGUCACCCCCUCCCUCUGUCACUGUGUCACCCCAU